rnacentral:tRNA from 1 species
GGUGUUGUGGCUCAGAGGUAGAGCGCUCGCCUGGGACAUGUGAGUCCCUGGGUUCAAUCCUCAGCACCACAU